rnacentral:rRNA from 1 species
UACGAAGGGGGCUAGCGUUGCUCGGAAUUACUGGGCGUAAAGGGCGCGUAGGCGGACAGUUUAGUCAGAGGUGAAAGCCCAGGGCUCAACCUUGGAAUUGCCUUUGAUACUGGCUGUCUUGAGUUCGGGAGAGGUAAGUGGAAUGCCGAGUGUAGAGGUGAAAUUCGUAGAUAUUCGGCGGAACACCAGUGGCGAAGGCGACUUACUGGCCCGAUACUGACGCUGAGGCGCGAAAGCGUGGGGAGCAAACAGG